GUUGUUGUUCUUGUCAGUGUGCAACGAUCUCUACAAAAUUCGCUUGAAUACUGCUUUCAAAACGCUUUCACGUUCCUUCUAGGACUUCAUAACUGCAUCUUAAGGUGGUUGGCAGGAUGAAUGACAGGAAAAAAAAGAUGAAGAAAUAAAAUAAAAAUAUAAGGAUAGAGGAAGGAGAAAUGAAAUAAAGUAAAUAAAUUAACAAAUGAAUGAAAGAACCAAUAAUACGUAUGUAUAUAAAAGGAAAAAACAGAAAAAUAGAUAAUCAGAGAAGCAGGUAAAAGGAAAGAAACAAUAUUGCGAGGAACAGAGAACAACACUCUGCAACACUCUGCUCUAUUGCUACUGAGCACUGUAAAGUUCAGUGGUAAUAUGCCUAGCUUCUGUGUUGCACACAUUUAGUGUCUGCAUUCUAACAUUUAGUGUCUGCAUUCUAACAUUGUCAUUAUUUGUAAAUUUACAUUUUUGUUAUUUUUUAUAUAUUUAUAUUUUAGUCUUCAUUUUUCUUUUUUGUUAUAUAUUUAUCUUAGAGGUCUCUCUUGUAAAUCACCUUAUGGUGACAGCGAUAACCUCAAUAAAGAUUAUUUAUUAUUAUUAUUAUUA